UAUUGUUCUGGACACAAUCAGGAUAGACUGUGCGCCAGCCCCAAGUCUGGGCAAGGGGCGGUGGGGAAACGGUCGCCACCGGGGUCAGGAAGACAGGAAAGGGCAAGCGCUCGCAGGUUGGAUCCGGGACAGGAAAGGCACGGGUCGCCGCUCGGGCCGGACCCUCCACUCCACGGCGUGCGUGGAGCUGGGAGCACGUGGUCCGAGCAGGAAACCGCCGCGGCGGGCGGGGGUCGCGAAUUCUCCUGCGGCGGUGGGGGGGCUUCGGACCUCCAUUGAGGAGGCUUGGGGUCGGUGCGCGGCCGCCACGGGCCGCGCUCGCAGGCGGCAGAGUGAGGGCUCGGUAGGGCCCUGGCUGAGAAAGGAAACGGGAGGACGGAAGGAGGCUGGGAGGCAGCCGCCUCCCCCUCAGCCGGGUUUCUUUCUUCGCAGUCUUGGAGCGAAGGAGUCAAUCGAUUAACAGCCAAAGCUCGGGUUAUACCCAGGGGAGGCAAAGAAGAGGGCGGGGUGCAGGACCCGGCGCAAGGCUCACUUCGCAGACGCGCGGAGGGAGAGGGGCCCGAGACGAACCCGGACACCGGGUCUCCUUCAGGCCAGAAGCGCCGCAAUCCCAAGGACAGAUUUUCCGACAUCCUCCCCCCUCCGCCUGCCCUAUGGAGACGCGCUGGAAGCUGGGCUGGCAGGCUGGGCGGGGCGGGGGGGGGGGGGGCGCAGAUGGGGCGCCCCCCACUGGAGGAGCCAGGCCCGCGGGGUGAACCUGGAAGACUCCUCCAGUCCGGCCAAGGACGCGUCCGCGGGGGUAACGACCUCAGCCACCUUUGAGGCCGCGGGCGCCGAUCUUUCCCGAGCCUCCCCCCAGCCCACCCACCUCACGUCCCCGAAGUCUGCAACACCAGCCCAGGCUGGAAAGUCAAGGGGCGUGGGCGCCCCGCCAGCGCGCAUUCCCUUCACCUGUGCAGAGGCCGUCGAGAGGAUGAGGCCGGUGACAGGGUGACACCCCUCUCUCCCUGAGCCCUGCUGGGGUCAGACUAUCCCAGAAGGAGGACAAGCAACACUGGCCGGAAGAGCGCGUAAUUCGUUUAUUUGAGAAAGAGAAAGAGCACAAGCAGCAGCAGAGGGAGAGGGAGAAGCAGGCUCGAUCCCAGGACCCUGGGACCAUGACCUGAGCCGAAGGCAGACGCUUAACGACUGAGCCACCCAGGUACCCCCCCUUUUUUUUUUUAUGACUUUCUUAAUAACUUUUUCUUUCUUCUAGCAUACUUUAUUGUAAGAAUACAGUACAUACUACACAUAACACACAGUAUGUGCUCAGUGACUGUUGAUGUUAUCAGUGACCAGAAGGUCAGCAGCAGGCUAGUAGUGGUUAAGGGUUUGGGGGAUCCAAAGUUGUACUCAGAUUUCUGACUAUGCAGAGGGUUCGGUGCCCCAACCCCCCAUGUUGUUCAAGGGUCAACUGUAUUUCAUUUAAUCCUUACCAGUGCCCCAUAUUGGGUUGCUAUCCUCUCUUACAGAUGAGGACAUUGGACCUCAGACAGGUUAAGUGACGUGCAUGUGUGCGUGUGUGUGUAUGCGUGCAGAUGUGUGUUGAGGCUGGAGAGGGCUCAUUUGGCCUCACUCCUCUCUGUGCUCUGACAGGGUGACUCAGUGGAGCAGCUGGGUAGGGCCCCGGCUUUCUCAACACCCCUCCCAUUCCACCUGCUACCUGGCACAUGAGGGGCGAGUGUGGGUAGGGUGAAUCUCUGGUCUCCCUGAUGACCCAGCGCUGAGCCUCACACAUCUGGGCCCCUCUCACCCCAGGGGAGGCCUGAGGCAGCACUAAAGAAAACAGAAGAGGAGCAAAAAGCUACUUAGUGGCUUUUCGUGUUAUUCUGGGCAGGAGGAGAGGCCCAGACAAGCCUGGAGUGUUGGGGGCCCCCCGGUUCAGGGAGACGGGGUCAGCUGGGAGCUGGUGAGAUUGAAGACUGGGCUCUCCCUUUGCAAGGCACAUGGCAAGGGGCCCCGGUCGAGGCCGACCUCAAACUUUGUCUAGAGUUAAGCCUGCUUCCAGCCCUCACCACUAUUUAGAAAAAUUAUUUUUAUCGAAGUAGUACACAUACAUGGUUAGAAAUGAAAUAGCAUGGAAGCAACAUUCGCCUCCGGAACCAGCUCUCCAGAGGUGGCUCUCACCUGGUCUGCUUUUAGUUCUGUACUUCGUGGAUUUGUGGACGCAGCCACUGAAGGGGCCUUAGUACCGAGAGGAUGUCCCUGUCUGAGGGCGGCUGUGCAGGUCCAAAUUCGAGAAGCGCCCCCUCCAGCUCCCCACCGGUCUGGCGUGGCCUUCAGGGCGGUGGCUCUCCAUAGAUUUUCAAGCCUGAUUCUCUGGGUCACUGUUAGCUUCUCCCUGUCCCCACAGGGCACUCUGGCCCACUUGGAGCGUUUGAGAAGCCCCUCCGGUCAUGGGGAGCCUCAUUAACACCCAGCUGAGGCUGAUCAGCAGCCUGGCAAGUUGGAUUUGUAAUUUGCGCGGAACCCCAAUGCCCCGAAGCCACAGUGCUCUGGACGCCUAGCUGGCCAUGGGGCGUUUCUGGGCUGGCCCUUUGGCCUUUGUCUCCCUUAUCUCCCUCGGCUUCUUUCCCUCUCUCUGUCUUUUCUUUCUCCUUUCCUCUCCUGUCCACCCCCCUCCCCUGACAACCUCACUGGAAGGUCAAGGUCAGACUUCUGGGCAGGAGGUUGGGUUCUAUUACCUAAGACCUGGCUGGCUGCCUUGGGGCCCUGGCAGGACUGUGGUCGUGGAUGGGGACGUUGGGAGAAAUGCAGAAACAGGAGCCCCCUCCCUGGGCCUCCCUCCCGGGGACUGCACCCGGGGAGUUUGGGUGUGUCACCAGAGUCUUGGCGUCCAGGGUAUGUGAGCCAGAGUGUCUAGUUUUGGUUUCACUCUGGGCUGAUUUCGCUGUUUUUAUGCCCCGGUCCCCAGCUAGGUCUUUAGUUAAAAGCUGUGGGGACAGGAAGGGAAGGCCUGGGCGUCCACAUUUGGGCAGCACGUUAAGGGGACGCGGGGCCUUCCCACCUCUCUGCGUCCAGCCUCGUUAUGUGCCCAGUGAGGUGCCUGCGAGGAGAGCUUGUCGUGGGCACUCAGAGCUUUAGCUGCCUCUCGGACCGUCACCCUUCCUCCUCGGCCUCAGAGGAUCAUGUUUCAUCUGUGAAGGAAGGCCCCAGCUUUCCCGACAGUGCUUAUCUGCUCGGUCCAUCAGAGCUCCACCCGGUUUCUCCAUGGAGACUCGAGCGGACUGCAAAGCCCAACCAGGCUGGGUCCGGCGCAGAGGCACCAACGUUUACUGAGCUGCUAUUAUGUGCCCGCUUCUGUGCACAGCGCUUUACCUGCUUUGUCCCAUUAAAAGAAAAUG